rnacentral:rRNA from 1 species
AGAGUUUGAUCAUGGCUCAGGACUAACGCUGACGGCGUGCCUAAUCUAUGCAAGUCUUUGGUACUUGUACCAAGGCAGACGAGUGAGUAACACGUAGGAACCAACCCCUGACUUGACCAUAACCUGGGGAAACCCGGACUAAUAGUCAAUAAUCUCUUUGGGUAGUACCAAAUGAGAAAAGCUUCGGCGGUGAGGGACGGGCCUGCGUCCUAUCAGCUAGUUGGUAAGGUAAAAGCUUACCAAGGCAAUGACGGGUAGGGGGCGUGAGAGCGUGGCCCCCCACGAUGGCACUGGGAUACGGGCCAUACAUCUACGGAUGGCAGCAAGUAGGAAUAUUGCGCAAUGGACGAAAGUCUGACGCAGCGACGCCGUGUGUGGGAUGAAUGCCUUCGGGUUGUAAACCAACAUUGAAAAGGGGCGGCUAACUUCGCGCCAGCAGCAGCGGUAAUACGGAGGCCCCAAGCGUUGUCCGGUUUUAUUGGGCGUAAAGAGUUCUGUAGGCGGUAAAUUAAGUUACGGGUUAAAUCCUCCGGCUCAACCGGAGUACAGCUCGUAAUACUACUUUACUAGAGAUAGACAGGGGAGGGUGGAAUUCAUGGUGUAGCGGUGGAAUGCGUUGAUAUCAUGAGGAACACCGAAGGCGUAGGCAACCCUCUGGGUCUAUCCUGACGCUGAGAGACGAAAGCGUGGGGAGCAAAACGGAUUAGAUACCCGUGUAGUCCACGCUGUAAACGAUGACCACUCGGUCCGUGUUUCUGCUAUAUGCGGGAAUACGAGCCUCAGCUAACGCAAUAAGUGGACCGCCUGAGAAGUACGGCCGCAAGGCUAAAACUCAAAGGAAUUGGCGGGGACCCGCACAAGCGGUGGAGCGCCUGCUUUAAUUCGAUGUUAAGCGAAGAACCUUACCGAGGUUUGACAUGCUCCUGCAUCCUUAUGGAAACAUAGGGGGUCUUUCGAAGGUGGAGCACAGGUAUUGCAUGGCUGUUGUCAGCUCGUGUCGUGAGAUGUACCGUUCAGUCGGGUAACGAGCGCAACCCUUACUGUUAGUUGUAUCACUCUAGCGGAACUGCCCGGGCAACCGGGAGGAAGGUGAGGAAGACAACAAGUCGGCAUGGUCCUUAUACCUCGGGCAAGACAGGCGCUACAAUGGCCGGUACAAUGGGUUGCUACAUAGUAAUAUGAUGCUAAUCUCUAUAAAACCGGUCUCAGUUCGAAUUGAGGGCUGAAAUUCGCCCUCAUGAAGUUGGAAUCGCUAGUAAUCGCUGGUCAGCUAUACAGCGGUGAAUACGUUCUCGGGUCUUGCACACACUGCCCGUCAGGCCAGCAGAGUUGGGAAUACCUGAUGUCCUCGUUUUAACGGGGCCUAAGGUAGGCUCAGCGAUGAGGGUUAAGUCGUAACAAGGUA